GCCGGUGUGGUGAAAUUGGUAUACGCGCUGGAUUCAAAAUCCAGUGGAGGCGACUCCGUCCCGGUUCGAGUCCGGGCACCGGCA
rnacentral:tRNA from 1 species